AACGAACGCUGGCGGCAUGCCUAACACAUGCAAGUCGAACGAGAUCUUCGGGUCUAGUGGCGCACGGGUGCGUAACGCGUGGGAAUCUGCCCUUUGGUUCGGAAUAACAGUUGGAAACGACUGCUAAUACCGGAUGAUGACGAAAGUCCAAAGAUUUAUCGCCAGAGGAUGAGCCCGCGUAGGAUUAGCUAGUUGGGGUGGUAAGGCGCACCAAGGCGACGAUCCUUAGCUGGUCUGGGAGGAUGAUCAGCCACACUGGGACUGAGACACGGCCCAGACUCCUACGGGAGGCAGCAGUGGGGAAUAUUGGACAAUGGGCGAAAGCCUGAUCCAGCAAUGCCGCGUGAGUGAUGAAGGCCUUAGGGUUGUAAAGCUCUUUUACCCGGGAUGAUAAUGACAGUACCGGGAGAAUAAGCUCCGGCUAACUCCGUGCCAGCCGCCGCAGUAA
rnacentral:rRNA from 1 species